GCGGCCGUGGCGGAAUUGGUAGACGCACUGCCUUGAGGUGGCAGCGGGUAACACCGUGGAAGUUCGAGUCUUCUCGGCCGCACCA
rnacentral:tRNA from 1 species